rnacentral:rRNA from 1 species
CAGGCCUAACACAUGCAAGUCGAACGGUGAUGGACCGGCUUGCCGGUCUUGAUCAGUGGCGAACGGGUGAGUAACACGUGAGCAACCUGCCCUCGACUCCGGGAUAACCACCGGAAACGGUGGCUAAUACUGGAUAUGACCUCUUGCCGCAUGGUGGGGGGUGGAAAGUUUUUCGGUCGGGGAUGGGCUCGCGGCCUAUCAGCUUGUUGGUGGGGUGAUGGCCUACCAAGGCGACGACGGGUAGCCGGCCUGAGAGGGUGACCGGCCACACUGGGACUGAGACACGGCCCAGACUCCUACGGGAGGCAGCAGUGGGGAAUAUUGCGCAAUGGGCGGAAGCCUGACGCAGCGACGCCGCGUGAGGGAUGAAGGCCUUCGGGUUGUAAACCUCUUUCAGCUCCGAAGAAGCGAGAGUGACGGUAGGAGCAGAAGAAGCACCGGCUAACUACGUGCCAGCAGCCGCGGUAAU